AUGAGGAGCUUGCUCUUCAAAUCGAGUGGCGAACGGGUGAGUAACGCGUGAGGAACCUGCCUUUCAGAGGGGGACAACAGUUGGAAACGGCUGCUAAUACCGCAUAAGCGCACAGAGCUGCAUGGCUCAGUGUGAAAAACUCCGGUGGUAUAAGAUGGACCCGCGUUGGAUUAGCUGGUUGGUGGGGUAACGGCCCACCAAGGCGACGAUCCAUAGCCGGCCUGAGAGGGUGAACGGCCACAUUGGGACUGAGACACGGCCCAGACUCC
rnacentral:rRNA from 1 species